CGAUUCCGGAGAGGGAGCCUGAGAAACGGCUACCACAUCCAAGGAAGGCAGCAGGCGCGCAAAUUACCCAAUCUUGACACAAGGAGGUAGUGACAAUAAAUAACAAUACCGGGGUUUUUCAACUCUGGUAAUUGGAAUGAGUACAAUCUAAACCCCUUAACGAGGAUCAAUUGGAGGGCAAGUCUGGUGCCAGCAGCCGCGGUAAUUCCAGCUCCAAUAGCGUAUAUUUAAGUUGUUGCAGUUAAAAAGCUCGUAGUUGGAUUUCGGGCGGGCCCGGCCGGUCCGCCAUUCGGUGUGCACUGACCGGGCCCGUCUUGUUGCCGGGGACGAGCUCCUGGGCUUAACUGUCCGGGACUCGGAGUCGGCGAGGUUACUUUGAGUAAAUUAGAGUGUUCAAAGCAGGCCUACGCUCUGAAUACAUUAGCAUGGAAUAACACGAUAGG
rnacentral:rRNA from 1 species